rnacentral:rRNA from 1 species
AUACGGGGGGGGCAAGCGUUAUUCGGAUUCAUUGGGCGUAAAGAGCGCGUAGGCGGCUUGGUAAGUCGGGCGUGAAAUCUCCACUGCUCAACAGGGAGAGGCCGCUCGAAACUGCUGGGCUCGAGGACCGGAGAGGUUGGCGGAAUUCCAGGUGUAGCGGUGGAAUGCGUAGAUAUCUGGAAGAACACCAGUGGCGAAGGCGGCUUCCUGGAUCAAGACUGACGCUCAGGUGCGAAAGCGUGGGGAGCAAACAGGAUUAGAAACCCCGGUAGUCC